rnacentral:rRNA from 1 species
GCUACGGGUGGCAGCAGUGGGGAAUAUUGGACAAUGGGGGAAACCCUGAUCCAGCAAUGCCGCGUGUGUGAAGAAGGCCUGCGGGUUGUAAAGCACUUUCGGUUGGGAAGAAAAGUUUGGCGCCAAUACCGCCGAACCUUGACGUUACUGACAGAAGAAGCACCGGCUAACUCUGUGCCAGCAGCCGCGGUAAUACAGACGGUGCAAGCGUUCAUCGGGCGCACUGGGGGUAUAGUGUGCGUAGGUUGUGAAAGCCCCGGGCUUAACCUGGGAACUGCAGUCGAUACUACAUGGCUAGAGUAUGGUAGAGGGAAGUGGAAUUUCCGGUGUAGCGGUGAAAUGCGUAGAUAUCGGAAGGAACACCAAUGGCGAAGGCAGCUUCCUGGACUAAUACUGACACUGAGGAACGAAAGCGUGGGUAGCAAACAGGAUUAGAUACCCGAGUAGUC